UGCUGCAUGGCUGUCGUCAGCUCGUGUCGUGAGAUGUUGGGUUAAGGUCCCGCAACGAGCGCAACCCCUGCAUUCAGUUGCCAUCGGGUGAAGCCGGGCACUCUGGAAGGACUGCCAUCGACAAGAUGGAGGAAGGUGGGACGACGUCAAGUCAUCAUGGCCCUUAUGUCCAGGCGACACACGUGCUACAAUGGCCGGCACAACGGGAAGCGAGUUCGCGAGGACGAGCGGAUCCCUUAAAGCCGGUCGCAGUUCGGAUUGAAGUCUGCAACUCGACUUCAUGAAGCUGGAAUCGCUAGUAAUCGCAGAUCAGCCAAGCUGCGGUGAAUACGUUCCCGGGCCUU
rnacentral:rRNA from 1 species